ACUCUUUGUUCAUCAACCCCUGCAUCUACCUCUUCACCGUCCACUACUGUGCCCUGCCCAUCGAAGCCGAGGGCUCUUCCCUCAUUGGCACUGCCGCCGCGGAUGCCGCUUCCGACUCCACCACCGCCCCCACCACCACCGCC
rnacentral:ribozyme from 1 species